UACAGAGGUCCCGAGCGUUGUUCGGAUUCAUUGGGCGUAAAGGGUGCGUAGGCGGCGGGGCAAGUCUGAUGUGAAAUCCCGGGGCUCAACCCCGGAACUGCAUUGGAUACUGCCUUGCUCGAGUACUGGAGAGGGAACUGGAAUUUACGGUGUAGCAGUGAAAUGCGUAGAGAUCGUAAGGAAGACCAGUGGCGAAGGCGGGUCUCUGGACAGUUCCUGACGCUGAGGCACGAAGGCCAGGGGAGCAAACGGG
rnacentral:rRNA from 1 species